CCUGCCCCAGGCCCUUCAAAGGGGUCUGGCACAUUCUUCAUUCUUCAAAGCCUUCAUUGAAGUCCCUCCUCUGAGAGGCCUUCUAACCUUGACAUCAGAGGAGAGCUCUGCCUCCGUGUCCUCCCCACAACUUUGCUCUUUCGCAUGUGGGGGCACAGACAUGAAGUUUUCAGGCCUGGAUGGGGAACAAGCGAAUGUCACUGCUGUGCUUUGCAAGUCCUGGAACCAAGGCCGGGGUGCUAGAAAGGAAAACGACCAUGGCAAACCCAUCCUGCUGUCCCCCACCCCUUGGGGGGCUGCUGAGAAGGCAGGAGAUGCCUUCUAUUGAGAACCCCUCAUUCCCACCCCAGCCACUUUGCAUUCUGGGGGAGGGGAACAGGAGCCACUUGUCAUUGUCCCUGAACGCUGGCUGGCAGGAGGCCCGGGGAGGGAGCUCCCCAAUGGGGAAUCUGCAGCUGCCUGUCUUUAAGGUAAAAUUACCGUAAUUACUCCAAUUACCAAAUCCAUCAAGAGCUUUGGACUGAGGAGUCCGGAGAACAAUCGGAUCUGAGGAGCCCUGGACAUUGGCACCUGGAGCUCCUGGUGGGACUCACCCUGCAUGGAAGACUGCCAUGACCACCAGGCCACCCCACUGAGACAGAAGGUGACCUUGACCACCCAUGAGAAUGAUUUAAGUACUGUGGAGUUAUGUAUACUGUACCACUGUUAAAAAUAUGUACAUAGCAUAAAAUUU
rnacentral:lncRNA from 1 species